AUACAUUAGGAAAAUACUACAAUUAUAAACACCUAACAACAGAGCUCCAAAAUACAUAAAAGUGGCAGAAUUGGAAGGAGUAAUAGACAAUUUAAAAAAAAUUAUGGAUUUUAAUUGGAGGAUAAUUACUUUACAAUAUUGUGGUUUUUGCCAUACAUCGACAUGAAUCAGCAUGAGUGAACAUGUGUCCUGCAUCCUGAACUCCCCCUCCCACCUCCUUCCCCACCCUAUCCGUCUGGGAUGUCCCAGAGCACUGGCUUUUGAGUGCCCUGCUUCAUGCAUCAAACUUGCACUGGUCAUAUACUUUACAUAUGGUAACAUUCAUAUUUCAGUGCUCUUCUCUUAUAUCAUUCCACCCUUGCCUUCUCCCACAUAGUCCAAAAGUCUGUUCUUCGUAUCUGUGUCUCUUUUGCUGCCUUGCAUGUAGGAUUGUCAUUAUCGUCUUUCUAAAUUCCAUCUUUUUAUUCACAGAUUCAGCAAACAUUUGGUGAAUGUUUCUUCUUAAGGGGUUCUAAAUCAAAUGGGGAAAGGGAGUUAUGAAGUAAUAAUUGCAGUAUAAUAAAUGUGUUCUGAAGUUUUCUGAACAUAAAAGAGAAUCUGACAUCUAAACAAACAAUUCUUCACCAAAGGGGAUUAAACACCUACUAUUUGUCUGCCCCCUCCAUAGAUUAACUCAGUGGAUUCUCAGAAUCUUUUGUUCACCUUAUAGGUGUUCCUGGGUUCCACAACCAGCAAGUGACUGAGGCAUCACUUCAUCCAAUUCUUCUGACUUUAGACUCUUCUGCACUCUCAAGUGUUGGAUACCUGCCACAGGUAACUGUCUCCUAGGGCUUAACUCUGCUCAUAUAUAAGAUUGGUGAACAGUUUGGUUUAAAAAGGUUGUACUGAUUAUAACUAAUACCCUGGGGGCCUUUAGAGGAAAACAAGCCAGGGUUUAUUGGCCUCACAUGACUCUUUUAGUCUUAGAAACUAGCUUCUGUUCUAAGGAAGCCUGGUUUCCCCAUCUUGCACCUGGUUCUCAGCCCCACAUAGCCAGGCUCCAGCAGCUGGCCCUAAAGGGAGGUGCAAACACAGGCUCCAACUUGCAGCUUACCCAUGAUCUGGACAUUGGCUUUGGAUCAGCUCAGCCUGCAGGGCUUUGUUUAAUUAUUGCAAACCUGCUGACUUUUUUUUUUUUUAAAGUACUGGAUACUUAAAGUUCAGUAAAGAAUCUGGAAGAAGGAGUAAA
rnacentral:lncRNA from 1 species